AGACACGGCCCAGACUCCUACGGGAGGCAGCAGUGGGGAAUUUUCCGCAAUGGGCGAAAGCCUGACGGAGCAAUGCCGCGUGGAGGUGGAAGGCCUACGGGUCGUCAACUUCUUUUCUCGGAGAAGAAACAAUGACGGUAUCUGAGGAACAAGCAUCGGCUAACUCUGUGCCAGCAGCCGCGGUAAGACAGAGGAUGCAAGCGUUAUCCGGAAUGAUUGGGCGUAAAGCGUCUGUAGGUGGCUUUUCAAGUCCGCCGUCAAAUCCCAGGGCUCA
rnacentral:ncRNA from 1 species